rnacentral:rRNA from 1 species
AUUGAACGCUGGCGGCAGGCCUAACACAUGCAAGUCGAGCGGAUGACGGGAGCUUGCUCCUUGAUUCAGCGGCGGACGGGUGAGUAAUGCCUAGGAAUCUGCCUGGUAGUGGGGGACAACGUUUCGAAAGGAACGCUAAUACCGCAUACGUCCUACGGGAGAAAGCAGGGGACCUUCGGGCCUUGCGCUAUCAGAUGAGCCUAGGUCGGAUUAGCUAGUUGGUGGGGUAAUGGCUCACCAAGGCGACGAUCCGUAACUGGUCUGAGAGGAUGAUCAGUCACACUGGAACUGAGACACGGUCCAGACUCCUACGGGAGGCAGCAGUGGGGAAUAUUGGACAAUGGGCGAAAGCCUGAUCCAGCCAUGCCGCGUGUGAAGAAGGUCCUCGGAUUGUAAAGCACUUUAAGUUGGGAGGAAGGGCAGUAAGCUAAUACCUUGCUGUUUUGACGUUACCGACAGAAUAAGCACCGGCUAACUCUGUGCCAGCCGCCGCCGUAA